UAUCUUCAUCACUGUUUAGCGGCAGAGGUAAACCAACUAGAUGGAGUUCGCCUGAAACCAUGGUAACUGGUGACCAAUCAACAUAAGGAGAUAGCUGGUCUUUUGGUAUCGUCUUGUGGGAAAUUGUGACAUUAGGUGCGAGGCCAUACCCUAAAAUGACCUUUGACACUGUCCAAAAGGAGGUUGCCAAUGGAUACCAGAUGCCACGCCCUCGUCAUUGUGGAC